UACGGGGGGGGCAAGCGUUGUUCGGAAUUACUGGGCGUAAAGGGCUCGUAGGCGGCCAACUAAGUCCAACGUGAAAUCCCCAGGCUUAACCUGGGAACUGCGUCGGAUACUGGAUGGCUUGAAUCCGGGAGAGGGAUGCGGAAUUCCAGGUGUAGCGGUGAAAUGCGUAGAUAUCUGGAGGAACACCGGUGGCGAAGGCGGCAUCCUGGACCGGCAUUGACGCUGAACAGCGAAAGCCAGGGGAGCAAACGGG
rnacentral:rRNA from 1 species